UCCCCAAAAUUUUCGUCCCAGCGCCACAUUAAAGUCAUCCCUAAAAUUUUCAUCACCGCACUCUCAAAUCCCUAACCCCCUCGUCUUCGCCUUAUCCGACCCCGUCGAAGUCCGACCGUUGCCGCUGGCCAACGCACCUCAUCUUCGCCUCAUCUUCGUUCGUCGGGGCUCCCUCAUCUUCUCCGCGGGCCAUCAUACCCCCUCCUCCUCCCUCAUCUUCGCCGGCGCUCCUCCGCCUCCUCCUCCUCUGCUUCCAUCCAUCGGUUGUAUUAAGAAACUGAAUGACGAGUUAUCCAGCUUAUGUUGGUCUUGCUACAAUUGUACGGUUUGUCUGGUGGUUUGUUUAUUCUGAUGCCGGUCCCAGACUUCCAUAUAAAGAGUAGGUAUAAGAGGAAAGGCAUGAAAGAAUUACAAAAGAUGCUGCAUAAGUGCAAUGAGCAGCUACAUCAAUUUAGCCAUGUCAACAAAAAGGCUCUUGACCAGUAUAUGAACUUCACGGAGCAACUAGAACAAUUACAGAAAA